UUCUGUUCCUCUGCUGGAAACUUAAAGGAAGUAAAAACCCGUCUCCUCCUCCUGUGGAUGUGACCUAUGCUGAUGUCACGAUCAAACAGAGAGCCAACAGGAGAGACAAAUAUCCUGCUGAUCUACGAGCCG